UAAGUUCCCCGCCUGGGGAGUACGGCCGCAAGGCUAAAACUCAAAGGAAUUGACGGGGGCCCGCACAAGCGGCGGAGCAUGCGGAUUAAUUCGAUGCAACGCGAAGAACCUUACCAAGGCUUGACAUAGCCGAGAACGCUGUAGAGAUACAGAACUCUUUGGACACUCGGUUACAGGUGGUGCAUGGUUGUCGUCAGCUCGUGUCGUGAGAUGUUCGGUUAAGUCCGGCAACGAGCGCAACCCUCGUCCUAUGUUGCCAGCACGUUAUGGUGGGAACUCAUGGGAUACUGCCGUGGUCAACACGGAGGAAGGUGGGGAUGACGUCGAGUCAUCAUGCCCCUUAUGUCUUGGGCUUCACGCAUGCUACAAUGGCCGAUACAAAGGGCUGCGAUACCGCGAGGUGGAGCGAAUCCCAAAAAGUCGGUCUCAGUUCGGAUUGGGGUCUGCAACUCGACCCCAUGAAGUCGGAGUCGCUAGUAAUCGCAGAUCAGCAACGCUGCGGUGAAUACGUUCCCGGGCCUUGUACACACCGCCCGUCAAGUCAUGAAAGUCGGUAACACCCGAAGCCGGUGGCCUAACCCUUGUGGAGGGAGCCGUCGAAGGUGGGACUGGUGAUUAGGACU
rnacentral:rRNA from 1 species